rnacentral:rRNA from 1 species
UACGUAGGGGGCGAGCGUUGUCCGGAUUUAUUGGGCGUAAAGAGCUCGUAGGCGGCUUGGCAAGUCGGGUGUGAAACCUCCAGCUCAACCUGGAGACGCCACUCGAUACUGCCAUGGCUAGAGUCCGGUAGGGGACCGACCGGAAUUCCUGGUGUAGCGGUGAAAUGCGCAGAUAUCAGGAGGAACACCAGUGGCGAAGGCGGCUCACUGGCCCGAUACUGACGCUGAGCACGAAAGCGUGGGGAGCAAACAGG